GACGAACGCUGGCGGCGUGCUUAACACAUGCCAGUCGAACGGAAAGGCCCUGCUUUUGUGGGGUGCUCGAGUGGCGAACGGGUGAUUAACACGUGAGUAACCUGCCCUUGACUUUGGGAUAACUUCAGGAAACUGGGGCUAAUACCGGAUAGGAGCUCCUGCUGCAUGGUGGGGGUUGGAAAGUUUCGUCGGUUGGGGAUGGACUCGCGGCUUAUCAGCUUGUUGGUGGGGUAGUGGCUUACCAAGGCUUUGACGGGUAGCCGGCCUGGGAGGGUGACCGGCCACAUUGGGACGGAGACAAGGCCCAGACUCCUACGGGAGGCAGCAGUGGGGAAUAUUGCACAAUGGGCGGAAGCCUGAUGCAGCAACGCCGGGUGCGGGAUGACGGCCUUCGGGUGGUAAACCGCUUUCGCCUGUGACGAAGCGUGAGUGACGGUAAUGGGUAAAGAAGCACCGGCUAACUACGU
rnacentral:rRNA from 1 species